GAUGAACGCUGGCGGCGUGCUUAACACAUGCAAGUCGAACGAAGCGCUUGAGAUUGAUUCUUCGGAAGAUUUCUCUUGUGACUUAGUGGCGGACGGGUGAGUAACGCGUGGGUAACCUGCCUCACACAGGGGGAUAACAGUUGGAAACGACCGCUAAUACCGCAUAACCCGCUAGGGCCGCAUGGCCCGGACGGAAAAGAUUUAUCGGUGUGAGAUGGACCCGCGUUGGAUUAGCUAGUUGGCAGGGUAACGGCCUACCAAGGCGACGAUCCAUAGCCGGCCUGAGAGGGUGAACGGCCACAUUGGGACUGAGACACGGCCCAAACUCCUACGGGAGGCAGCAGUGGGGAAUAUUGCACAAUGGGGGAAACCCUGAUGCAGCGACGCCGCGUGAGUGAAGAAGUAUUUCGGUAUGUAAAGCUCUAUCAGCAGGGAAGAAAAUGACGGUACCUGACUAAGAAGCCCCGGCUAACUACGUGCCAGCAGCCGCGGUAAUACGUAGGGGGCAAGCGUUAUCCGGAUUUACUGGGUGUAAAGGGAGCGUAGACGGCUAAGCAAGUCAGAAGUGAAAGGCUGGGGCUCAACCCCGGGACUGCUUUUGAAACUGUUUGGCUAGAGUGCUGGAGAGGUAAGCGGAAUUCCUAGUGUAGCGGUGAAAUGCGUAGAUAUUAGGAGGAACACCAGUGGCGAAGGCGGCUUACUGGACAGUAACUGACGUUGAGGCUCGAAAGCGUGGGGAGCAAACAGGAUUAGAUACCCUGGUAGUCCACGCCGUAAACGAU
rnacentral:rRNA from 1 species